AUUGAACGCUGGCGGAAUGCUUUACACAUGCAAGUCGAACGGUAACAGGUCUUCGGAUGCUGACGAGUGGCGAACGGGUGAGUAAUAUAUCGGAACGUGCCCAGUCGUGGGGGAUAACGUAGCGAAAGUUACGCUAAUACCGCAUACGAUCUAUGGAUGAAAGCGGGGGAUCGCAAGACCUCGCGCGAUUGGAGCGGCCGAUAUCAGAUUAGGUAGUUGGUGGGGUAAAGGCUCACCAAGCCAACGAUCUGUAGCUGGUCUGAGAGGACGACCAGCCACACUGGAACUGAGACACGGUCCAGACUCCUACGGGAGGCAGCAGUGGGGAAUUUUGGACAAUGGACGCAAGUCUGAUCCAGCCAUUCCGCGUGCAGGAUGAAGGCCCUCGGGUUGUAAACUGCUUUUGUACGGAACGAAAAGGUCUCUCCUAAUACGAGGGGCUCAUGACGGUACCGUAAGAAUAAGCACCGGCUAACUCUGUGCCAGCCGCCGCGGUAA
rnacentral:rRNA from 1 species